CUUUCUCUCAGGCUCCAAACCUAAGAAGCCAUUUCUACCACACCCUCCUGAGUUGAAUCAAGUGACAAAGGUCCCCCCUAAGGUGGUCUUCUAGAGGAAGCCUUCAGGAACCUUGAGAAACACUGAUUUCAUUCAACCUCCUUCUUUUAGAGGUGAAGAAGCUGAGGCAGCCCAGAAAAGGUUGAAAAAUUUAAUGGUCUUUUGACAGCUGCGAAGCUCCAACAGGCUGUUUUCGGCUACUCCAUCAUCAAGAGAUAACAGUCAGCUUCACAAACCCCAAACUGAAUAUGGCCCUGGAAUCUGAGCUUCUGCUAUUUCUACACAUCUAGUGAAGGAGACAUAUGUCAACAUCCAGAAACUCUUUUCUAAGCGUAAGGAAGUGCGACAAAGAAAGGUAGGGUGUCAUCCUGAUGGAACAGAUGCACGCCUGUUGCUGAACAGUUGCUCAGCCUUGUGAAAGCUCUCUGCCCCAGUCAGAUGUUCAGUUUCUCUGGGAGACAGCCAUCCAGUUCCUGAGAAGGCAACAUCAAUCAUUAUCCAUGGGUCAGAAUUUCCAGCAAGGCUAGAGGAAACAUUUUGAUUAAUGCCUCCAUGGUGACCUGAAGGAUGCCGAGGGCUGGAAGCUGUGGUGAAAAUGAGGUAAAGUGUUGUGGCUGGUGAGAUUUGAAUUGGAAAUCACUGAGUUGAGUUACAGGCAGACCCCAAGAGAAGAUGCUCAGCAACGAAAGGAAAAUGGGAUCCCAGUGCCCCUCUUUUCUUUUCACAUAAGACAUUCCAUGCCCUGUCCAGUAGCAAGACUUAGCCCUAGUCUCCAUGGUCCAAACCCCAAGACUUCCCCAGGACCAGCUCCAGAUGAGUUGCAGCUGCAAGCUUCAUAUCUUCUAAGGACUGGAAUCUCUGCCCUAUUUGCCUGAAGAUACUCAGUAUGCCAACACUUCGGCUUCUGCAUGUCAUGGUUCAAAGGGCCUCCAGGACCACUAAGCUACAACGAGGGAAAUACUUCCUCUUUAAGAAUGAUACCCCAGGCCUUUCCUCUAAAAAUGCCAUGCCAAUGAAAAUUAUGGCCUAUUUAACUGAGGCCCCAAAUCCAUAAGGGCCAUGACUUUUUGUGACUUCUGCUUUCUGCAGAAAUUCAACUCUACAAGUUGUGCCUGUUUUGAUGAGCCUUACUGUGCAAGUAUUCAUUUUGAGAGCUAAGUCCUCUAGAAGGCUCAGCAGCUGGAGCCCUGAAGUUUUGGCUGGGCCAGAAGUUCCACAGUCUGCUGAUCCAUGGUCUACCUGCUGGGGAAACACAAGAAACAUGAACUGCUUAUGCAUCCCCUACCUUUUCUCUACAUAUCCCUAGGAAUAGCGAGGUCAGGAAAAGUCUUGGCUAACAUGGAGAACCCAAAACUUAGACCUUAAAGCAUUAAGCCUCAGUGGGCUCCCUCUUCCUCUAAUGAACGAGAUCUUUUCACACCAGGUGGAACCAAGUGAACCACUGCUUCUUGGCAGUCAAGAGGGAGAAAAACCCAAGAUACUGGAGUUUGUGAAGAAUGAGGCCAGACAGCUUUGGGCAAAGUGGGAAACUCCAUCUUGCUUAGAAGCAUUCUAGAGUAGUAUUUAAGAGUGUGAACUCUAAGGCCAAACUUCCAUGCUUAAAAUCCCAGUUCUGCCACUUAAUAACCAUAUGGCCUUGUACAAGGUAUUUAAAUUCUCUGUGUCCUCGAAGUGAGAAUAAUCACAAAUAAUAAGAUCUACUUUGUAGGGUUAUUAUCAGGAUUAAAUGAAUCAGUACCUGUAAAGCUCUUAGAUCAGUGCUUUGUCCUUAC
ensembl:lncRNA